GCACACGCUCGCCGACCUGCACCACACGGACCCAAUAGAGCCGUGGGCAGUAACUGCGCUGAACGUAGGUGUGUGGCGUCCCACGAGCGGUGAGCUGCGAGCGUUGCUCGACGACUGGCUCCUGCGCUGCGAACAUCUCAUACAGCACCUGCUACUCAACCUGGACUACACGCCGCAUACGGGCGUGUCGCUAGAGUCCCAGCUGACAGUAGGUCGUUGGCUAUGCGGUU